UUGGGGGACAAGCUGUUAGUGUUUGAAUUACCUAAUAAGAAUUUUAGUUUCAAGUUCUUAUCUUUCCUUUGAGUGUUUUGGUGAAAAUUUUGAGGCUUUUUUUUUCCUUCUUUGUUCUAGUAGUUUCUUCUGCCCUCAGUGUUGUGCUUUUGCAUGCAGAACCAAGCCUUCCUUGCACAAACGCGGUUGUGUUGAUGACUUCAGAGGCUGAUAGCAGUUGAACUUGUGAAUAAUUUAAGGAUUAAUUGGAAUGUAUUUAGGAGAGUAGCCAUCACUGGAGACAAAUGCUGAGCUUGCACUAAUGAUGGUGCAUGUGUGCCAGCAAGGAAUAAAUGAUCUCCACUGAGAUUCACGCUUGAUGAAAUAUCUCCACCAGCCUGAAACUUUAAAUAUUUAGGAGGGCUGUGUCCUAGUGAGUCUGGGCACGUUUCUGUGUGAAGCAGGGCUGGAGGGUCCAAGAGGGCUGCUGUGCUCCACUCUGACCUGCCAUUAAGUGAUCCCUGGGCUCAAGCUCUCUGCCAGGAUAUAUCAGCACCGGCCUCUCAAGGGGCUUAAGCAGAGAAACAUCUCGAUUUGGGAAGAGGACUGAGGCUUCAUCUGAGAAGUGAUUUUUAAAGAAAUGAAAGCCUCCUCCACUGCCUUAAUCAUAAAGAGGAAAUAUAAGGCCAAUCUUGAUCCUGUUAGAGUCUCUAGGCUUCCACACACUACCAGUCUUAAGAUUAAAGAAUAUUUGUAUGACUGAUCUUAAGUUCCUGCUGCUCUCGUGUGCUUCCCAUCAGUAUGCUGCAAGUUCAGUGCCUGUUGUGCAAAAUUAAUUCCUGUAAUAUCCAGCUGUGAUACCCAAGGGAACUGUGACUUCAAAUGGGGAAUUAACACAAGAAGCAAAUCAACCCUUUAAAUGAAACCUGGGUUUUGUGCAGAUGCUGUUCAGAAUGAAGAACCUGUUUGCACCUUUGUUUGACAUGGUAGAGUCAUUAGAGAGCCACAGGUCAUUGGAUGAUGAAAUGUAUGCAUUUCUGCAGAUUUUAAAUGCUUGGUUUAAUGUUGACAAGUGGCAAUAAUUCAGGUGCUUCAUAAGCAUCAGGCUUUUUCUUCUCCUUAAUGAGGAAGACAGUGCUGAAGGAAGAAGCCAUCUUCUGAGCUAAUUGUCAAGAUAUGCUUAAGAAGAGAAUUGUCAAUCACUCCCUUGUCAAAAGUGUAUGGAAGAGAAAUCAUCUUUUCACUAUUUAUUUCUGCUACAAACUUAGGUAUUCCUGCUUUUUUUUUUUUUUUUUUUUUUUUUUUUUUUUACCUUGAGGGAGAUCAGAGUGGUUUAAUGCUGAAUGGCAAAAUACCAUAACAGCAUGUGUGCAGCGGAGGCAGUGGGCUGUACACAAUCAAAUUGGAGGGAUUUUCGGUGGCAGAUCACAUUAAAAUAAGAGCUCAGGAAGAAAUUGGCUUUGCUUUUGCAUUUAGUAGCACAUCUUAUUCUUGGGGACAUUCAAAAAAAGGUGCUCAUCUUCUUGCAAAUGGAUCUUUGCUAUUCCCAGGUAGCCUGUAAUCUUUCUGUGAAAACAACAUAAGCUGAUUUGGAGGAGGGAGGUGGUAGGAGAAUUGCUGAGAAAACACUUUGUGGAGUUGUUCCAGGAGCUUCGUGUGUGCGGUGCUCCUCUGCUUUCCCGGACCAGCACAGCUUGUGCUGAAGGAUGUAGGUAGAAAUGAGGAUAAAUUGGAAAACUGCAGUGUUUUUUUGUCUUGGUGGUGGUGGUUUUUUAAGUUUCCAGGAGAUUAUCAAACACAAAAGAACACUAAUAUAUUUUCCUGUCAAAUAAAGAUAUUCUAUAAAAUCUUCAGCCUGCAUGGGGUAAAGGAAGAGGGAGAAGAUGUUUAAUGAAUGCAAAAAUAUUGCAAAGCUUCCUUACUACAGGCUUGUGCUUAAAACUUGAUUAAUGUAUAAGCAAUGCAUGGGGAUGUAUGACCAAAAUACAGUUGGUUUUUAUCUUCAGUAAAGUGAAACUAACACCACAAAAGUUGAAAUACACAGGGAAACAGUCUUUUGUAAAUUGCCACUUUAUUUUUCAUUUGUUGCUCAGGGAGACGGCAUAGACAGGCAUCAUUGUUUCAGUGGCCUCUGGAUAUUUUUUCAUUUUGGGACUGAUGUGAAUCCCAUUAAAACUUGCUGGGAAUCAUUUGAUUCACCUGACGGCUUUUCCCCCACUCAACCCUGUAAAAGAUCAGAACAGUCUUGUUUUUACUGUUUUUUAAUUAUUUUUUUAUAUGCUCCUGGGUCUGCUAUUCAAAUUAUUCUAAUAUCCCCCUUGCUGAGGAACAGGGAUUUUGCAAGUGACACCUAGUAAUUACCCUACUGCUAACCAGAGCCAUGGGAGAUCUGGAGGAGGGAGGUAUUUAUGGCUGUAGGAACACUGCCGUGCACCAGCUAUGUGCAGUUUGCAUGGACACUGACUAAACUAAUUGGCUUUCAAGCAAAAACACUGGCCCCUGGAUCUGCAUUUUCAGUAUUUCUGAGUCACAGCAUGGCUGAUUUGGAAGGGACCUCUGGAGGGCAUCUGGUCCAAACUCCUGCUUGAGCAAAGCUGCCUGGAGCAGGUUGCCCAGGGCCAUGUCUAAAUGAAGCUUGUGAAGCAGCACCUCUUUACUCCAGCUGGGAUGUAGUGAGCACAUUGACCUGGAGGGUGGGAGCUUAUAUGAGCCCCCAGUGUGUGAGUGCAUCACCGCCACCUGAUCGCUGACUGCAUUUGAUCUAGGCUCUUAUUCCUAGAGCAGGAAGGCAGGUGCUGUCCUGGAGAGCAGAU